GUGGGGAAUCUUGCGCAAUGGGCGAAAGCCUGACGCAGCCAUGCCGCGUGAAUGAUGAAGGUCUUAGGAUUGUAAAAUUCUUUCACCGGGGACGAUAAUGACGGUACCCGGAGAAGAAGCCCCGGCUAACUUCGUGCCAGCAGCCGCGGUAAUACGAAGGGGGCUAGCGUUGCUCGGAAUUACGGGGCGUAAAGGGCGCGAAGGCGGACAGUUUAGUCAGAGGUGAAAGCCCAGGGCUCAACCUUGGAAUUGCCUUUGAUACUGGGUGUCUUGAGUACGGGGGAGGUGAGUGAAACUCCGAGUGUAGAGGUGACAUUCGUAGAUAUUCGGAAGAACACCAGUGGCGAAGGCGACUCACUGGCCCGUUACUGACGCUGAGGCGCGAAAGCGUGGGGAGCAAACAGGAUUAGAAACCCGGGUAGUCC
rnacentral:rRNA from 1 species